rnacentral:rRNA from 1 species
GACGAACGCUGGCGGCGUGCUUAACACAUGCAAGUCGAACGGAAAGGCCCUGCUUUUGUGGGGUGCUCGAGUGGCGAACGGGUGAGUAACACGUGAGUAACCUGCCCUUGACUUUGGGAUAACUUCAGGAAACUGGGGCUAAUACCGGAUAGGAGCUCCUGCUGCAUGGUGGGGGUUGGAAAGUUUCGGCGGUUGGGGAUGGACUCGCGGCUUAUCAGCUUGUUGGUGGGGUAGUGGCUUACCAAGGCUUUGACGGGUAGCCGGCCUGAGAGGGUGACCGGCCACAUUGGGACUGAGAAACGGCCCAGAAUCCUACGGGAGGCAGCAGUGGGGAAUAUUGCACAAUGGGCGGAAGCCUGAUGCAGCAACGCCGCGUGCGGGAUGACGGCCUUCGGGUUGUAAACCGCUUUCGCCUGUGACGAAGCGUGAGUGACGGUAAUGGGUAAAGAAGCACCGGCUAACUACGUG